AAACGAACAAACUAAAGCAAGAUGUCGUUCUCUCCUUUUCACACCCAUAGAAAAAGUCACCCAAGCCUCUCCACAGAUUAGCAAAGAAGACGAGGCCUAUUUAUUUUUGCAGUUUUACUUCUCUCCCUGUCAAAAUGUCACAUUUCUAAGUCCUUCACAGCUUCAUCUUCCUCUCUCUGAACCCAAGUUCUUAUCUCUCAUCUUUCACUUUCCUCCUCUUAAUUUCAAGAUUCUUGAGUUCUCUUGAUUUCCUUUUUGCCCUAAGUUAUUCUCUUCUUACUCGAGUUCUUAUCUUUUUUCUUCCUUUAAAUUCUCAAACCAUCUUCUGUUUGGUCUCUCUGGCUCUGAAUCACAUAGAUACAGUAAAAUCUCUUGAAUUCUUCUGUCAAGUCUCUUGAAUUCUUCUGUGACUACAAAGGUUUAGUUUCAGGAAGGCAUCCUUUCCUAUUCAGUUUCACACUCGUACUGUUUGUGAAAAAUCAGAUCUCUAGAUUGGGGUCAACAAGAAGGGCAGUCAACAAAAUAGAUGGCAAUACAGAGAAGACCAACAGACGCCAAGAAAGAUGGAAGAGGAGCUAAGGAUUUGUGCCUCCUUUUUUUUGGGUUGAGAUGGUUGUGAUGUAAAGAUGAUCACAAGAAAACAUCUGUCUAAGAGGGUGGCGUUCAAAUUGGUGGUCUCACUACGAGCUAAACACGAAAGUAGUGAGACGGAUUGCCGAUCUGUUGAUAAAACCCUAUGCCAAAAUUAUUAUCAAGAAGUCUGAAGAUUUGCUCCUUGCGAUUAUUAUUGUCUCCAAUGAGUAAUGGGACAGCGUGUGAGAGUGAAUGAACUUGCAGCUUGCAUUCAAUGAGGCUUUCUAAUAGUUGGAGAUUGUAUGAAUAAUGGAGUUUGAGAAGAUAAUGGUGCUUGGCUAGAAUAUUGUGGAUAAUUUGACGGACUAUUUAGGAUGCUAGGUGAAUAUGGGGUCAGGCUUCUGUUUGGAGAUUGUACAGGGACAAUAUCUAAUGAUGUUUCCAUGGGAGUCUUCUUUUUGGAUCGUACAGUAUUAAUAUUCAUGAUUUGAUUCUCAAUCGCAUAUUCUUAUUGAAUAAUAUUAAAGGUAAAGAUAAUUCAGGUGGAUCAAAGUGAUCAGUGUUGCCCUCCCUGCAAAAAUUCACGAGUGAGAAAAUCAGGAAGAUGGUUUGCAGAACUUUUUAACUAUUUAAUUGAAAAAGUCGAAUGAAGAGAGAAUGGUUGCCAACGAGCAAAUAUCUGUUUUGAUACCAAAUUUUGCACAUCU